rnacentral:rRNA from 1 species
AGCAUGAAAGUUUGCUUGCAAACUUUUGAUGGCGACCGGCGCACGGGUGAGUAACACGUAUCCAACCUGCCUCAUACUCGGGGAUAGCCUUUCGAAAGAAAGAUUAAUACCCGAUGUCAUAGUCCUACCGCAUGAUGGGAUUAUUAAAGAAUUUCGGUAUGGGAUGGGGAUGCGUUCCAUUAGUUAGUUGGCGGGGUAACGGCCCACCAAGACAACGAUGGAUAGGGGUUCUGAGAGGAAGGUCCCCCACAUUGGAACUGAGACACGGUCCAAACUCCUACGGGAGGCAGCAGUGAGGAAUAUUGGUCAAUGGACGAGAGUCUGAACCAGCCAAGUAGCGUGAAGGAUGACUGCCCUAUGGGUUGUAAACUUCUUUUAUAUGGGAAUAAAAUGUUCCACGUGUGGGAUUUUGUAUGUACCAUAUGAAUAAGGAUCGGCUAACUCCGUGCCAGCAGCCGCGGUAAUACGGAGGAUCCGAGCGUUAUCCGGAUUUAUUGGGUUUAAAGGGAGCGUAGGUGGAUUGUUAAGUCAGUUGUGAAAGUUUGCGGCUCAACCGUAAAAUUGCAGUUGAAACUGGCAGUCUUGAGUACAGUAGAGGUGGGCGGAAUUCGUGGUGUAGCGGUGAAAUGCUUAGAUAUCACGAAGAACUCCGAUUGCGAAGGCAGCUCACUGGACUGCAACUGACACUGAGGCUCGAAAGUGUGGGUAUCAAACA